UGUGAUUUGAACAGUGCUCCUGUAUAAACAUCACUCACAUUUCUAAUCCCAAACUGAAACCAUCACACGCCCAACACACUGAUAGUUGUCACACUGAAACCUGGACUGAAGCCUCCGCGGUAGACGCUGAAGAAGCUUUCUGGACGUUUAGUUUCGACCCUGGAUGUCAAAGUUGUUUCACUCAGCUUUGCUCCUUUCAGACUCAGGAAGAGGCCGGCUGAAUAGAUAAAGUCCAUGAAUGAGAUACUCUAAAUACCUGCAAACUGCAGUCAAGGCUGCACAGUUGGGGCUCUGGAUAUCAGCGGAGUAGAGCCAAGAGUUCACAGAUAACUCUUAGCCUGUGAUGUGGGUGCAGACAUGUGGUGACGAACUCAUCAACUGUGCAGCCCUGACCACACCUGGGAGUGAAAAGCGAGAGUUAGUUGCAGAAGAAGUUGUCGACCUGGAAUCUAAACGGUGCAGUGCAUUCCUUCUGACGACCCAAAGAGACCUGAAACAGAUCCUUUGUGCAUCAAACUGAGAGAGAAAAAAAAAAAAAAAACAUCAACCUAAAACUUUGUUAUAUUAGUUAUAUUUCUAUUAUAGGGAUAACUAUAAUAACAUAUAACAAUAACAUAUCUAAAUAUCUAUUUGUUGCCAUUUAAUAUGUUUCUAACAAACCAAACAGCUUGGAAAUCAUGUGCAACUUCAGUUAUAUUGAAUCUAAAGAGCAUUUCUGCCUCUUUAAUUGAUGUAAAAUUACUGGGUCAACUCUGUAAUAUGUUCUUGGUCUCACUCACAGCGAGUCUGUUCGCCAAGUUAGACAGCUGGUGAACACAAGCACAUCCACAAAGACUGACACUUAGACUAAAUAAAUAAAUAAAAAAUAGUCUGUCAUACAAGAAAUAAAAAUCUUGAUUGUGGUCUCAGCCUUGACAAAGCGACUCAAAGUUAGCCCUUGCGCACAAAUGACCGUGAAACAACUGAGCUUCAUGAUUAAGUCUUUUUUUUACUCAAGGUAAAUCUGCCAUUUCAGUAUGUCCAAACAUCCCGACUCAUAGCCCCCCCAUUAUUAAGGUCUGCAAUAAACAAAACAGUUUGUAAAUCUGUCAGAAUUUCAGCGAGUUAAGAGUAUUUCUGAUCAUGCAGAUUACUCACCUCCCGUCAACUACCAUAGAGAGAACCAGAAUGGUAUACUGGAGUAAGAUGGCCGCCGUGUAGGGACUCCAGUGACUCGAGUCAUCUAGCCUUUCUUAUAUGUAUCUAUGCCUGCCUCUUUGUCACAGUUGUAUGGGAAUAUUUUUGAUCAGUCUGCACAGCUUUUGAAGUUAAUGUGUGUUUUUUGUUAUUUACUAUGUUUAGUAAUUACUCGUCAUUUUUAUUGUGAUUUGUUACAAUGUUUCCUCGUUUGUUACUUCAGGGAACAUUUGUCAACUCUUUUAGUUUUGGAGCAGAAAAUUUGCGAGAAAACAAAGUCUGGAAUUUUCUCAUUAUAACUCAAUCAUUAGCUGGACUGCAACCUGACAGAAAACCCAAACAACACUGGUGAACAGCCGGUAUGUGUGUCUGUAGUGAACCACAUGCAGAGUGUGGCCCAGAUGGGACUGAGUAUGGCACACAGCUGGAUCCGUACACUUCGCUCACAGCUAUUUUCUGCCUUCAGAGAGAACGAGAGAAGCCCCUUGAACACGAGGAAAGGACUUCAAACGGCUCAGAGACUUCUGAACUUUCUGGAAGUAAACAGAAAAGUGACGCAGGCGGCUGUGCUGUAAUUGCCUGGUUCCUUUGACUGUUGCCUGGCCUUAGAGCUGGAAUGUGCAGCGAGAAAGAAGUGUGUUGACAUUCAGCCUGGCCCGGCUGAAGGGUCUGCAUGGCAUUGCACUCAGCGUGUCACAGGACUUAAAAUCUUGCACAUCUUUGACAAAUCGUGCAAUAUACAGAUUCAACGUGAUUGCACAACUGCUGCUGAAAAAUUUAUAUUCAUCAAAUUCAUCUUUUGUACAGCAAUGCUUCAUAUCUGGGUUACAAAGAGCGAACUGGAUCAUGGUCUAAGUACAACUACAUUUCAUGUAAUAAUAACCAAACCCACCCCUGUCUUUAGACCACUUGGUAUCUUCCAACAAGCCAACUGAAGCAUAAAUGUCCUCCACUUUAAGCCCCGCCUUUUGCUCCAACCAGGAAGUGGCAUCUCCAAACAGCCAGGUAAUUCAUCUACAUAGAAACACUAUUUUAUUUUAUGUGUAAUUUAACAGGGAAGUGAAGAUAACACAGACAAAAGAGAUUAAACUAAAUCAGUCUGAAAGUCUUUGAGGUUUUACAGAACACUGAAUUGUUGGAGCUAAAUAAUUAAAGUAAAAGUAGUUCCUCCUCCUCUUUCAUUUAUACAUGUGACAUUUCUUUAUCAUUUCCUUGAAGUAAUAAUCACCAUAUUAAUCAUUUUUCACUGCAGACGCGGUAGUUCUUCUGCCUUAGCAUCUCGGUCUAAUUGCAUCUUCAUAAAGUAAUGAUCAUAAAUGUUCUUUCUUGAGCUGCGAAACCCCGCUGUAGUCUGUAAUGGACUGGCCUAGUCAAAGUUAAAAAGCUGUUUGGUGGCUAGUACGAUGGCUGGGACCCUAUAUGUACUAACCUGAGUAAGAUCAUGGUGUAGUUCCGUUUAGUAACAGAACCUCAUUGGAAAAUUAUUUGAUUUAACUUUACUAUGCCCUUGUUCACAUAUACUAUCUCAACAGCACAUAUAUCCAUACAUGUUAACAAAAUUAUGAUUUUAUUGAUAAUUCGGCUCAAUAAAAACACCUUUACCUUUUCAUUUUUACUAUAGAAGAAGUUUAUUGGCCCAGCUUAUAGACUACAGAGGCGGAGAAACGCACCCGCUUAAGUUUAUGUUUUCUGAAUAAAGUACUAUGUCUGUGACCCUAUAUGUCCUGUUGAUGAAGUUAGGUGCUGUUCUGAGCAUUAUUUGUGGCUAUAGAGUGGCGUUUUGGUUGAGGUUUGUUUGUGGCUCCUCAGACCGCUGUGUAUUGCUAUCCUGCAGUCGUUACUAAAGUUUGUAUAACUAGAGAAGCAAGCGGUCGGCAACAUUCAUCUCUGAAGAGUGUGUCUAACUCAGUGUUACGAUGUGUUUGACCCUAAAUUAAUUUUACGCUGGAAUAUCCCUUGAAGAACUGCCCUAAAAAUUCAGUUCAGUAUUCAGUUCAAAGCUCAGUUGCUGAUCGUGCUUCCAAAAUAAGUGUUUGGUUUCAUCACUUGGAAAUGAUUUAUAAUGUAGACAAACGAGCACCCUCUGGCCGUAUGUCUGAAGUUUGAGAAGAGAUAUAUAAAAUAUCAUCAGCUUUCUGCAGUCCAUGAAAAAUGACGCUGUGCAUGUGGCUGUUUGGGUCAGAGUCUGUAAAUUUGCUUUUUUUGCAAUGAGGUUUGGUUAGGAGCAUGUUUUGCACAGAAAGCA
rnacentral:lncRNA from 1 species